rnacentral:misc_RNA from 1 species
AAAGAAAGUAUCAAGAAAGAUAGUUUUUGAAGCCCCACAGGCAUCCCUUUUCUGAUUACACAGGUACUGUUCGUAUGAUCUGUCAAUAAUAUGUUCCCAAGUUUAUUAUUGUCACAUGUCACUUGAAUAUUAGAAAAUGACUGAGUACAACUUGGAAGUACAUUUAAACAACUGAAUUUGAAGUACGGAAAUCAAAUUUCAAUUUUAUAAACAAAAUCACUUAAAUUUUAUUUUGUUUCAAUAAAAUUACCAUUGCCAAUUUUGUAUACAGAUUUUUAGCCAAAUUUUUUAUGCAAUGACCACGUAUGACAAUUCUAAAGGCCUAUUGAAGUAUAUUUGAAAAUUUUCCUUGGUUAUCAUGUCCAACAAAAAUUAUAAUUGAAUGAUUCUGCUGAUAAAAAUUGAAGUUUAAUAACCAUUGGUGAAAUUAACCUGCCAUUUACCAUUAGCGUGUUACCAUGUAAUGUUUUUAAUAUUUUCCCCCUUUAAAU